CCUCACUACUUGGAUAACCGUAGUAAUUCUAGAGCUAAUAUAUGCAUCAAAGCGGAACUCUCGGGAACCGCCGUGUUUAUUAGUAUUAAACCUUCACUCUUCGGAGUUGAUUUGGUGAGUCAUAAUAACCUUUCGAAUUGCAUGACCACGUGUCGGCAAUGGAUCAUUCAAGUUUCUGCCCUAUCAGCUUGGGAUGGUAGUGUAUUGGACUACCAUGGCUUUAACGGGUAACGAAUUGUUAGGGCAAGAUUUCGGAGAGGGAGCCUGAGAGACGGCUGCCACAUCCAAGGAAGGCAGCAGGCGCGUAAAUUACCCAAUCCUGACACAGGGAGGUAGUGA
rnacentral:rRNA from 11 species